UACGUAGGGUCCGAGCGUUGUCCGGAAUUAUUGGGCGUAAAGGGCGCGUAGGCGGCCCGCUAAGUCGAACGUGAAAUCCCUGGGCUCAACCCAGGAACUGCGUCCGAUACUGGCAGGCUUGAAUCCGGGAGAGGGAUGCGGAAUUCCAGGUGUAGCGGUGAAAUGCGUAGAUAUCUGGAGGAACACCGGUGGCGAAGGCGGCAUCCUGGACCGGCAUUGACGCUGAGGCGCGAAAGCCAGGGGAGCAAACGGG
rnacentral:rRNA from 1 species